CUAUACCCGGCCGUCGGGG
rnacentral:snRNA from 1 species